rnacentral:rRNA from 1 species
CCCUUAGAUGCUCUGGGCCGCACGCGCGCUACACUGGUCGAUGCAACGAGUUUCUUUCCUUGGCCGACAGGCCUGGGCAAUCUUUGAACAUCGAUCGUGAUCGGGAUAGAUUCUUGUAAUUUUUGAUCUUAAACGAGGAAUUCCUAGUAAACGCAAGUCAUCAGCUUGCAUUGAUUACGUCCCUGCCCUUUGUACACACCGCCCGUCGCACCUACCGAUUGAAUGGUCCGGUGAAAUCUCCUGACUGGCGUGAGUCGGAGCAAUCUGACAAACACCGGAAAGUUGAUUAAACCUUACCAUUUAGAGGAAGGUGAAGUCGUAACA